CGGCUGGGGAGUGCGGCCGCAAGGUUAAAACUCAAAUGAAUUGACGGGGGCCCGCACAAGCGGUGGAGCAUGUGGUUUAAUUCGACGCAACGCGAAGAACCUUUACCUGGCCUUGACAUGCAGAGAACUUUCCAGAGAUGGAUUGGUGCCUUCGGGAACUCUGACACAGGUGCUGCAUGGCCGUCGUCAGCUCGUGUCGUGAGAUGUUGGGUUAAGUCCCGUAACGAGCGCAACCCCUAUCCCUAGUUGCUAGCAGUUCGGCUGAGAACUCUAGGGAGACUGCCGGUGACAAACCGGAGGAAGGUGGGGAUGACGUCAGGUCAUCAUGGCCCUUACGGCCAGGGCUACACACGUGCUACAAUGGUGCGCACAGAGGGCUGCAAACCCGCGAGGGGGAGCCAAUCUCACAAAACGCAUCGUAGUCCGGAUCGCAGUCUGCAACUCGACUGCGUGAAGUCGGAAUCGCUAGUAAUCGUGAAUCAGAAUGUCACGGUGAAUACGUUCCCGGGCCUUGUACACACCGCCCGUCACACCAUGGGAGUGGAUUGCACCAGAAGUGGUUAGUCUAACCUUCGGGAGGACGAUCACCACGGUGUGGUUCAUGACUGGGGUGAAGUCGUAACAAGGUAACCGUA
rnacentral:rRNA from 1 species